rnacentral:rRNA from 1 species
UGGGGAAUAUUGCACAAUGGACGGAAGUCUGAUGCAGCAACGCCGCGUGCGGGAUGACGGCCUUCGGGUUGUAAACCGCUUUUUCUCAUGACGAAGUUUUUUGACGGUAGUGGGGGAAGAAGCACCGGCUAACUACGUGCCAGCAGCCGCGGUGAUACGUAGGGUGCGAGCGUUGUCCGGAAUUAUUGGGCGUAAAGAGCUUGUAGGCGGUUUGUCGCGUCGAUAGUGCAAACUCAGUGCUUAACGCUGAGCCUGCUGUUGAUACGGGCAGACUAGAGGAAGGUAGGGGAGAAUGGAAUUCCCGGUGGAGCGGUGGAAUGCGCAGAUAGCGGGAGGAACACCGGUGGCGAAGGCGGUUCUCUGGGCCUUUCCUGACGCUGAGAAGCGAAAGCGUGGGGAGCGAACAGG